GAUGAACGCUAGCUACAGGCUUAACACAUGCAAGUCGAGGGGCAGCAUGAACAUAGCUUGCUAUGUUUGAUGGCGACCGGCGCACGGGUGCGUAACACGUAUCCAAUCUACCCAUGGCUCGGGGAUAGCCUUUCGAAAGAAAGAUUAAUACCCGAUGGUCUCGGUUUAAGGCAUCUUAGACUGAGUAAAGAUUUAUCGGCGAUGGAUGAGGAUGCGUCUGAUUAGGUAGAUGGCGGGGUAACGGCCCACCAUGCCUACGAUCAGUAGGGGUUCUGAGAGGAAGGUCCCCCACAUUGGAACUGAGACACGGUCCAAACUCCUACGGGAGGCAGCAGUGAGGAAUAUUGGUCAAUGGACGAGAGUCUGAACCAGCCAAGUAGCGUGAAGGAUGACUGCCCUAUGGGUUGUAAACUUCUUUUGUUUGGGAAUAAAGUUCGGGACGUGUCCCGUUUUGUAUGUACCAUUCGAAUAAGCAUCGGCUAAUUCCGUGCCAGCCGCCGCCGUAAGAC
rnacentral:rRNA from 1 species